rnacentral:rRNA from 1 species
GGACUACCAGGGUAUCUAAUCCCGUUCGCUCCCCUGGCUUUCGCACAUGAGCGUCAGGAGCUUGCCAGAACGCUGCCUUCGCCUUCGGUGUUCUUCCAGAUCUCUACGCAUUUCACCGCUCCACCUGGAAUUCCGCGUCCCUCUCAAGCCCUCAAGUCGGCCCGUUUUCCAAGGCCUGUGUCAGUUAAGCCGACACCUGUCACUCGAAACGUAACCGACCGCCUGCGUGCGCUUUACGCCCAAUAAAUCCGGACAACGCUUGCCCCCUACGUAUUACCGCGGCUGCUGGCAC